rnacentral:rRNA from 1 species
UACAGAGGUCUCAACCGUUGUUCGGAUUCAUUGGGCGUAAAGGGUGCGUAGGCGGUCGCGCAAGUCGGAUGUGAAAUCUCAGGGCUCAACCCUGAAACUGCAUUCGAUACUGCGUGGCUCGAGUGCUGGAGAGGAGACUGGAAUUUACGGUGUAGCAGUGAAAUGCGUAGAUAUCGUAAGGAAGACCAGUGGCGAAGGCGGGUCUCUGGACAGUUCCUGACGCUGAGGCACGAAGGCCAGGGGAGCAAACGGG